GCACUUAAAUCCUUUACUUGGAAAAGGUACGUUCAAGUGAAUAAAGACAGAGAACUGGACCCAAGAUAAACCAGGCAGGCUUGAUCAGGGGACUCAGCCUUGUUUGAUUUGCAAACGUGCGUGGAACCUGGGUCAUUUCUGGUAAAAACUCACAUUAGAUUCAAAACCUAACCUCAGCCGGGGCCAGGCAGCCCCACGGGCUGGUGCAUCUAACAGGAAAGCCAAAAAAGGCAGUUUGGGCCUGGCCAAUCACAGGGCUGGCUCUGCUUCCGCCCUCCCAUAACCCCUGCUCCGGAGCUGCGAACAGGAACGACGCCUCUUUCAGUCUGAGGCUCCCAAAUCCAUGAGUUCCUUCCGUCACGUAGACUCUGAAAUGUUACCAAGCUUCAGAUUUUUCCCUUGCAGACAUAUCAGAGUCUCCUCCCACGUGCAAGUCUGAAGCAGCAUGAAGCUGAGGAAUCCGUGAGGACCAUGCGAUCCAGGUCGGCGUGGCCUCCAGGACCAUCCUGCGAGGACCCUCUGGAGAAGAGGGCCCCCAGCAGGCUUGCUGCAGCAGAAGGAUGCCAGCCAAUGCCAUUUUGACAGGAUUUCUUGGACAACUGUAUCCUGGGCAGGUGGGACAGCGGUCCUGGGAGACCAACCUCAAGUGCAGCCGUGCUCGAGGUGCCGCAGGCCCCAUGCGGUCAGGGCACGAGAGGCCUGAGUGACUCGCACACGUGAGGACUUGUGCCUGCCUCCACAU